ensembl:lncRNA
CUGCUGACCAGGAAAGGGAGUAGGACAGGAAAUGUAGACAUUUACUGAUGAAUUUAUAAAUGCCAGUUCUUAUUCCAAUGAUGGUGUUUGUAACUGCAGAGUAAAGAGAUUGCAGAAUUUUGUUGGGUAAACACAAAGUAGAUUUCCAAACAGAUAAUAUACCUGUCUCGAGCAAGGGAUGCUGCUCCUAUGACAUCUAAGAUCAAGAUCCCAACAGAUUGCUCAGGCCUCUGACUUAGUUACCUGAACAUUUUUAUGCAGUCCAGAAGAAUAAUGACUAUGAUUUGGCUUGGUUCAUCCACCACUUCUACAGCUUUAUCUCAUCUUUACCAGUAUGCAGAUCCAUUUGUCCACCAGCUGAAAGCACUGUACAACAACAGAAUGGAAGUUCUAGGUCAAAGAAAUGCACUGCAAAGUCACUCCAGAGAAAAACAUCUGCUCCAGUGGUGCAAAUGAUCUGGAAAAGUAUCAGAAGAGUAUCAUGUGUGGGCACCUUCAUGAAAAUUCAGCCUUGGACAAAAUGACAGGAUGUAGGAGGACUGGAAGCCUUCAGAACCACAGAG